rnacentral:rRNA from 1 species
UACGUAGGGCGCAAGCGUUGUCCGGAAUUAUUGGGCGUAAAGAGCUCGUAGGCGGCCUGUUGCGUCCGCUGUGAAAUCCCGGGGCUCAACCCCGGGCGUGCAGUGGAUACGGGCUGGCUGGAGGCAGGCAGGGGAGAACGGAAUUCCUGGUGUAGCGGUGAAAUGCGCAGAUAUCAGGAGGAACACCGGUGGCGAAGGCGGUUCUCUGGGCCUGUACUGACGCUGAGGAGCGAAAGCGUGGGGAGCAAACAGG